rnacentral:rRNA from 1 species
UACGGGGGGAGCAAGCGUUGUUCGGAUUUACUGGGCGUAAAGGGUGCGCAGGCGGCUUUGCAAGACAGAUGUGAAAUCCCCGGGCUCAACCUGGGAACUGCAUUUGUGACUGCAAGGCUAGAGUACGGCAGAGGGGGAUGGAAUUCCGCGUGUAGCAGUGAAAUGCGUAGAUAUGCGGAGGAACACCAAUGGCGAAGGCAAUCCCCUGGGCCUGUACUGACGCUCAUGCACGAAAGCGUGGGGAGCAAACAGG